rnacentral:rRNA from 1 species
CCCACCUGAUCCCAUUCCGAACUCAGAAGUGAAACGCAGCUGCGACGAUGGUAGUGUGGCAUUCGCCAUGCGAGAGUAGUACACCGCCAGGC